rnacentral:rRNA from 1 species
UAAGAGGUCCAGCCUGCCCAGUGACAAAGUUUAACGGCCGCGGUACCCUAACCGUGCUAAGGUAGCAUAAUCACUUGUCCUUUAAAUGGGGACUAGUAUCAACGGCAUCACGAGGGUUACACUGUCUCCUCCCCCCAAUCAGUGAAACUGAUCUCCCCGUGAAGAAGCGGGGAUAUACCUAUAAGACGAGAAGACCCCAUGGAGCUUUAAGCUCAACAACACCUCCACAUAAACAUACCCCCGUAUACCACGAGUUCUGUCUGUUAGCUUUAGGUUGGGGUGACCGCGGAGCAUAAUUUAACCUCCACGACGAACUAGGCCUAAAACCCUUAUCCAAGAGCCACUGCUCUAAGAAUCAUAAAUUGACGUAAAAUGAUCCGGAUUUUUUCGAUCAACGAACCAAGUUACCCUGGGGAUAACAGCGCAAUCCAUUUCAAGAGCCCCUAU